UUUGACAAAAAAUCGGACCAUCUUCAGUACAAGCUGACAUGAGCAGCAACUGCAGGGUGGGUUUCUGAUUUAUAGUGCUGCUCCGAGUCUCGAGUCCCUUCAGCACCCGGUCCCCUCCCGAACAGCUGGGUGGAACAUUUGAUCGGCACUGUGGAGGAAUUCUUAGAGGGGAGUCGUACGGGCCGAGACACCAGCGGUGCCUGUGUUUGAGGUGCAGCUCCUGGGCGCCACACGGAUGAGCUCAUGAAAUGCUAUGCUGUCCUCCUAGCCAAGGGUGGGGCGUGGAAGGUGAAAGGAAAGGCCACACUUGUCAUCAAUCAUGCAGGGUGAGCUGGGACCCCCUGCUCCUGGAUGAGCCCCACAGACAGGAGGAACAUGGGGCCAAGGCCAAAUUAAAGGCAUCAAGUGUCCCCCCUCCUUAGGGAAAGAAGAGCUUGGAUGUGUGAGCGUGGAGUUUGGAGAAUCACCUGAGAGAGAACAGGAAGUGAUGCUUGAAACGGAUUAAAAACAGAACUACCAAGUAA